CUUCUCACACCUUGUUCAACAUUUGACACUUUUGCACCCUGUCAGGUUUAUUCAAGUAUUGCAUUUAUUUUGUUAACUAGCCAAAAAGCUGUUUUAAAAUCCACCUGUUCAACAGACUGAUCAGGCUGGGGAUGCCAGUAAUUCCACACCGACACGAAUGAUUUCAAAGUUAAGAAAAUCCAAACAAAUGAACACUCGGAAGUAAAAUUCAACAGGUGAUGCUUACCAGUAAAAACGCGAAUAAGAAGUUAUCGAAAAGUGCUGGUAUCUUUACUUAAUCUAAGCCAAUUUGAUAUGAACAACCGGAAGAGACUAGUCAAAGAGCGUGUUCAUAAGAACAAUAGGAAUGGUCAAGGACAUAGUGAAAUAAUCUUAAGAGCAUGGAUUGGAUACUUGAAGUCAUUGAAAGAAAGGAAUGUCCAACUUCUGCAAGUGGAAAGAACUCAAAUGAAGUGGGAGAAGGAGUUUCAGAAAAUGGAUUGUAAACUAGAGAAUUUAGAACAAAGGCUGGAUGUUUACGCCUCACGCAGGGCAGCUGAAAAAGACAAAAAUUCAGAAGAAUGAGGACUGUUAAAUAUUUAAAAUACUAGCAUUAAAUUAUUCCCUAAUGAUUAAAUAAUUAUUGUAAUUAACUUAUGAGAAGUAUUUGUUAUUCCAAAAAUAAAUAUGUAUAAAUAAUGUAAGAUUUAGACAUGGCUUUGUGCAUAUGAAGUUGAAACCGAAAAGAUAUACAUUCAUUCACUGCAUUGCUACUAAAUACUAGUAAGCUCAUUAUCACUGACAAUGGGUUUAACAUAAAAAAAAUAAUGAUUAUUAUAUAGCUCAGUACAUUGCAUACAGUACAAUAUAGAACCAUUUUAACAAGAGCUUGGACUUUGGGUAGUUGUGUCAAACAGCAAUGUGACAUAGGCCUGUCUAUUUCAUUGUUGGUAAUUCAGCCAUGGCUCUUUGAAAUCAGCAAGAUUUGUCUGGCUUUUGAGCUAAGACUACGCAAUCAGUGUAUAUUUUGCUUGAAACAGCGUCAUUCGUAACUUGUUUCAACGCAAGAGAUAGAUAGCUACGCACUUCUGAAAGUCCAAGGUCUUGUUAAAAUGGUUCUAACUAUGGACGAUGUUGUCCAGUAAGGACCCAUCUUUAGAGGGCUGGAUGUUUGUAAUCAUUUAUAGAAAAUAUCGAUCACCUCAAGAUAAGUUCAAUAUACAACGAUAUAAAAAGAUAUUAAAAUUUUACAACCUACAAUACAUAUCUAUGAAAAAUUUCUUCACUGAAUAAUACUGUAAUUUCCUUAUUUUACUCGAGUACCUAAUUCCCCGAUUCAACGAUUUAGCAUCAAAUCGCGAGAAUGUAAAAUCGCGAACGCCGAAUUUUUAUCAUAUUCCAAAUAGUUUACAUCUGUACACAAAUUAAAGAGAGAUUUUAAAAUCCGCGAGAUGUGCUUAUCGCGAUUUUACGCGGAUAUUUAUUUCUCGCGUUUAAUAAGGAAUUUACGGUAGUUUAUAGCUAGAAAAAUCAUACAUUAAAACUUAAGGUAGGUCUGAUAACUAAUUAUCAUUGCUAGGUCUGCCUUACACUGAUGUUUCAUGUAUGUAUAACUAUCUCCUAGUGUCAAAAUCUAAAAAUGAUUUUCGUGGGUUUAAGUUGAUUUUUUCCAGAGCUUUUUUGAUAUCAUAAAUGAUUUUGUUCAUGUUAACUGUACUUUAUACUUUAAGAAAAUAUGUAUGUCAAAAAUAAGAUAUUUUCGAAACUUUCGAUUUCAUUUCUUGUAAAAAGUAUAACGGGAAUCUUUACUCCAUUUAUUUUUCCAAAGAAAGGUCAAAAACAUAUUUAUUAUCAUUUUACUGAAAUAUAGAUGCAUGUAUCCUAAAUAU